UACGGAGGGUGCAAGCAUUAAUCGGAUUUAUUGGGCGUAAAGGGCGUGUAGGCGGAAAUAUAAGUCAGAUGUGAAAUUCCGGAGCUCAACUCCGGACCUGCAUUUGAAACUGUAUAUCUAGAGGAUAGGUGGGGAAAACGGAAUUCCACAUGUAGCGGUGAAAUGCGUAGAUAUGUGGAGGAACACCGGUGGCGAAGGCGGUUUUCUAACUUAUUCCUGACGCUGAGGCGCGAAAGCAAGGGGAGCAAACAGG
rnacentral:rRNA from 1 species